GCAGUGCUAACUCAAUUGGUAGAGUAGCUGACUCUUAAUCAGAAGGUUAUAGGUUCAAGUCCUAUGCACUGCACCA
rnacentral:tRNA from 1 species